rnacentral:rRNA from 1 species
AUGGAGUACUAUCAUAUUGCCAACAAGAUGUUUAAUAGUGAGGAUGAAGGUUAUAGAUUCACUAACAAAUAUGGUCUUGAGAAAGGUUUUAGUGUCCGGAAAAGCUAUGUCAAGUGGGAUGGAUCCAACUGCCAUAUAAUUUUAAGGAAAUUUGUGUGUAGUCGUGAAGGGGUUCGUGAAGAGAAGCACAUAAAGAGGAAGAUGGAAGAUAGAAAGUGGAGGCCACGGAGUAUAACUUGUGUAGGGUGUAAAGCUAAAUUGGUGAUUGCAAGACAGGAGGAAACAUGUCAGUAG